rnacentral:rRNA from 1 species
AUCCAGUGAAUCAUCGAAUCUUUGAACGCAUCUUGCGCUCCUUGGUAUUCUGAGGAGCAUGCCUGUUUGAGUGUCAACUAA